UGUGAACUUACCUUACGUUGCCUCGGCAGGUCGCGCCUACCUCGUAGCGCCCUACCCUGUAGGGCCUACCCGGGAGACGCGGGUAAGCCUGCCGGCGGCCCACGAAACUCUGUUUAGUAUUGAAUUCUGAAUCUAUAACUAAAUAAGUUAAAACUUUCAACAACGGAUCUCUUGGUUCUGGCAUCGAUGAAGAACGCAGCGAAAUGCGAUAAGUAAUGUGAAUUGCAGAAUUCAGUGAAUCAUCGAAUCUUUGAACGCACAUUGCGCCCAUUAGUAUUCUAGUGGGCAUGCCUGUUCGAGCGUCAUUUCAACCCUUAAGCCUCUGUUGCUUAGUGUUGGGAGCCUACAGCACCUGUAGCUCCUCAAAGUUAGUGGCGGAGCCGGUUCACACUCUAGACGUAGUAAUUUUAUCUCGCCUAUCAGUUGGACCGGUCCCUUGCCGUAAAACCCAUUA
rnacentral:rRNA from 1 species